GCUGUAUUCAAGGAUGAAACCUAUUCUGAGUGGACAUAUAUGGAUGAUAAAUACGGAUAUGGGACUGAGACCAGCU
ensembl:snoRNA